GACGAACGCUGGCGGUGUGCUUAACACAUGCAAGUGGUGCGACCAACCAGAGCUUGCUCUGGUGCAAAGCCGCGAACGGGUGAGUAACACGUGGGUAAUCUACCCCGAUGACCGGGACAACCCGAGGAAACUCGGGCUAAUACCGGAUGUGGUGCGGAGACAUCCGUCUCUUCACUAAAGGUAGCUUCGGCUUCCGCAUUGGGAGGGGCCCGCGGCCCAUUAGCUUGUUGGUGGGGUCAAGGCCUACCAAGGCAACGAUGGGUAGCUGGUCUGAGAGGACGAUCAGCCACACUGGGACUGAGACACGGCCCAGACUCCUACGGGAGGCAGCAGUGGGGAAUCUUGCGCAAUGCGCGAAAGCGUGACGGAGCAACACCGCGUGAGGGAAGAAGGCCUUAGGGUUGUAAACCUCUGUCAGAUGGGACGAAGGUACUCCGGUGAAAAGACGAGAGGAUUGACGGUACCGACAGAAGAAGCGCCGGCUAACUACGUG
rnacentral:rRNA from 1 species